CCUACGGGUGGCAGCAGUCGAGAAUCAUUCACAAUGGUGGAAACCCUGAUGGUGCGACGCCGCGUGGGGGAAUGAAGGUCUUCGGAUUGUAAACCCCUGUCAUGUGGGAGCAAAUUAAAAAGAUAGUACCACAAGAGGAAGAGACGGCUAACGCUGUGCCAGCAGCCGCGGUAAAACAGAGGUCUCAAGCGUUGGUCGGAAUCACUGGGCGUAAGGCGUGCGGAGGCUGUUUCGUAAGGCGUGUGUGAAAGGCGCGGGCUCAACCCGCGGACGGCACAUGAUACUGCGAGACUAGAGUAAUGGAGGGGGAACCGGAAUGCUCGGUGUAGCGGUGAAAUGCGUAGAUAGCGAGAGGAACACUCGUGGCGAAGGCGGGUUCCUGGACAUUAACUGACGCUGAGGCACGAAGGCCAGGGGAGCGAAAGGGAUUAGAUACCCUGGUAGUC
rnacentral:rRNA from 1 species